rnacentral:rRNA from 1 species
AUGGCCCAGGGAGGCGAUGCCGCCGCGUGCCGCCGCAGUCUCCCCCUGCUGCCACUGCCACCGCGCCUCCUCCUCGUCGUCCUCGUCGCCAUGCUCACCGUGGCUUUGGUGGCGGCGCCGUCGGCGAGGGCGGCGUGGGUGGAGGACUACCCGUCGGGGGUGCCGUGCGGGGCGACGAUCCCGGUGGAGCAGUGCGACCCGGGGGACGCGGCGGCCAACAGCGCCUGCAUGGACGUGUGCCACUACGGCGGGUGCCGCCGCGGCGGCCGCUGCGUGUCGCUCGGCUUCGCCAGGGGCCGCGGCUGCCAUUGCAGGUGCUAG